rnacentral:rRNA from 1 species
GUGCCAGCAGCCGCGGUAAGACGAACCGUGCGAACGUUAUUCGGAAUCACUGGGCUUAAAGGGUGUGUAGGCGGUCUGCCAAGUCAGGGGUGAAAUCCUUCGGCUCAACCGGAGAACUGCCCCUGAUACUGGCGGGCUCGAGGGAGAUAGAGGCAGCCGGAACUACCGGUGGAGCGGUGAAAUGCGUUGAUAUCGGUAGGAACGCCAGAGGCGAAAGCGGGCUGCUGGGUCUCUUCUGACGCUGAAACACGAAAGCUAGGGGAGCGAACGGGAUUAGAUACCCCCGUAGUCC